UACAGAGGGUGCAAGCGUUGCUCGGAUUUACUGGGCGUAAAGCGUACGCAGACGGCAAGACAGGUCGGACGUGAAAGCCCCGGGCUCAACCCGGGAAAUGCGUCCGAAACCGUCUCGCUCGAGUAUGGGAGAGGGAAGCGGAAUUCCUGGUGUAGAGGUGAAAUUCGUAGAUAUCAGGAGGAACACCGGCGGCGAAGGCGGCUUCCUGGCCCAUUACUGACGUUCAGGUACGAAAGCGUGGGUAGCAAACAGG
rnacentral:rRNA from 1 species